GGGUGUAGAAUAAGUGGGAGCUUCGGCGCCGUUGAAAUACCACUACCUUUAUCGUCUUUUUACUUAUUCAAUGAGGCGGAGCUGGGAUUAACAGUCCCACCUUUUGGCUUUCAAGGUCUUUUACAGGCCGAUCCGGGUUGA
rnacentral:rRNA from 1 species